UACGUAGGAGGCAAGCGUUAUCCGGAUUUACUGGGUGUAAAGGGAGCGCAGACGGCAGUGCAAGUCUGAUGUGAAAGCCCGGGGCUCAACCCCGGAACUGCAUUGGAAACUGUACAGCUUGAGUGUCGGAGAGGUAAGCGGAAUUCCUAGUGUAGCGGUGAAAUGCGUAGAUAUUAGGAGGAACACCGGUGGCGAAGGCGGCUUACUGGACGAUGACUGACGUUGAGGCUCGAAAGCGUGGGGAGCAAACAGGAUUAGAUACCCUGGUA
rnacentral:rRNA from 1 species